AUAAAAUUAGUCAAUGUAGAUUUUAUUACGUAAGCAUUUAAUAAAAUUUUACUCAAUAUAGUAAUUGGUUACUGAUUAGCAUCGCUAGCGCGAAAUCGCUCACGACGAACUCAUGGUUAACGCUAAAAAAAAUUUGGUCUAGGCAGAAAUACAUUAGCUCUAAUAGUUAAUUUUAUUGGUUAACAGGAGUUUCAGUCAAGGUGAAUUACAAAGUCUUUUUCAGUCCCGAGCGUAAUUAAAUUUCAUUCUAACACAAACUUCCGAUGUUACAGUAAUUUUUUUUCGGAAUGAAUUGACUCGUUUCUGAUGUAUUGUCGGUCGGGAGCUACGAGUAUCAGCGUGUACGGUACAUUUAACCAAAGUUUAUAAAAGUAUGUUUUACAGAUAUAUGCGCUUUGUCACGCGUAACGAAAACAAAAUAACAGAUGAUACAAGACCACCUACAAUAAAUCAGACCUUAAGGCAGAUACCGAUAGUUGACAAUAUGGCGGCAAUCGUGGGGGAAACAAACCAGCGUGCUUGUCACUUCAGCGCGCUUGUGUUUCCAUAACAUGUGUGUGUAACAUUGUGUAUGUGACGUUCAAGAGAAGCGAAAGCAUUUAUUACUAAUCUGUUAUGUAUGCUAGAUGCUGUGAAUGUCGUCACAAGUGCAACGCUAUUAUUUAUUUUCUAGAUUCUGUAGUAAGCUCGGCAUAAUUUAAAGUGUAAACUGUUCUUGUGAUGGAUCGUAGCUGUUGUGUACCAGGAUGUAAAUCCAAUUACGGCAGAUCAUACGAUACCUCAAGUUUCCCAAAGAAACAGCAUUGAGGAACAAAUGGAUUAAACUAAUUCAUAGAGAUAAUUUUGUAGUGAACGAUAAAAGUGUGGUAUGCGUUUUGAACCUAAGUUUGUGGUUAGGGAAGACAUUUUUCCUGUGGAAAACAGUGAACCAAUACGUGUGCCACGAAAAAUACCAAAACUAACAAAUGAUGCAAUUCCAACUAUCUUUCCUAAUCAACCUUCUUAUCACACAGUACCAGUUCCUAAGGAAAGGAAGAAUCCUGAAGUUCGUGUUCAACAGCUACUGUAACGUGAUGAAUGUAGUUUCAGUAAGUGGUGCGAAAAUGACAAUAUACCUGACUUUCAGCAUUUGAAAAGCGAAGUGCAGAAAAGGAAUGUUUGUCCAUUUACAAUUUUAGUAAAGGAUGACUAUGUAUCUUUCAUUAAAUUAAAGGAUGAUUCAGUCAGUGAUGUGCCAUAAGUUUCAGUGUGCUUCAAGAUACCAAGUUCCUUGGAAGUAAAAGUGUUUCACAAAAAUGUGUGUUUGCCUACAGAAACCUUGAAAUGGAUAUUACAGUCUAGGGAGGAAGAGAACUUGAAAUUGACAAGUGGACGAAAUUUGAUAACCUGAUUGGUAAUGGACAACAUCAUCGAGGUCUUGCAGAUGCUGUACACUCUUCUGGAAGCUCAGGUUCCGACUCCAUCCCUGAAAGCACUUAUGUACUUGGUGACGAGAUUACACAUCUACAUGGCAACACGAAAUGGACUCUUAGGUGAAUACACAACCUUCUUUUGAGCUAUUUGAUUCAAUUAGAAAUUUCUUCGCAACCACCAUCUGCCUCUGCUUCAACGACCUUAUUAGAAUUUCUGAAACCUCAGAGUGAUGGUAUUUCACUGACGUUAUUAUCAUCAGAGGACUGGAUGAUGUUAAUAAAUUGUGUAUACGAAUUAAUAUUAUCUCACAAAACUAACCUGGAGAAUUAUCCAUGACUGUAUCUACUCCUCCAGACGAUGCCGAUGCCGUUUCCACACUGACUCAUUUAUUGCCACCAGAGUUAAAAAAACGAGUCGACGCAUCAGAGCAUUCGCGGCCAUAUCCGACAUCAACUGGCUCAAUGUAUUGUUAUAUCUCUACUUGCAAAAACGGCCAAGUUGCGGACAAGUAUGGCUUAGAGGAUCAAAUAAACGAUUACCUGGUGAGUAUGAAAUUGUACAAUGGCAAAGUUUCAUCGAAGGAUCCCUCCCUGUAUUGGAAGGGGAAAACUUUGGAAUUAAUGAUCAGUGCAGAACAUGGCUCGACAGUCAUGGAACACGUAAAUGGCCUCAUAGCAAGCGGCAGCCAACCAUUACAGGUAAAGGGUGCAAUGCUGAAACCACAGCGAAAAAGGUACUUUCCCUAUUAAUAUCUUAUAAUUGCAUUCCUCCAGAGAACAACAUCCAGAGAAUACCAUCGACUCAUCCGUAUUUUAUUAAUUUAAUUGAUCCAAAGUUUAAAAGGUAUUUGGAGAUGGGAAUGGAGUUGUUCCAAAAUACUAUUAAUGAAUUGUAUUUAAAAGGUUUGGAAAAUUUACAUGGUUCCAGUUCAGAAGAUAAUAUUUCUAUUCCCAUGCUACAGUCGUAUGGGAAUAUUAUUACACUUUGCAAGAUUCUUUAUGUUGGUUAAAUAAAUUACUUUUAUGUCAAUGUAAUGAUGAUACAGAUGAAGCUACAAAAUUUUUAACAAAUUUAGUGUGGUUUAACCAUAAUGGUUUAUCUCAGUGGCAAGAUGUGAAUGCUACAGAAUGUUAUGUUUCUAAUAAAAAAUUGAAAACUUUGUUUGGUUGGACCACCUAAAACUAUGGUAAAAUUUGGUUUGUCGAUUGUUAAUUUCUCUCACAUUAACUGUUGGACACAAUGGACGAUGCAACAAUUAGACUAAUCAAUUUGCCCUUCAAGAAGCUGUAAAUAGACAUGUUAUUGUUGGUAAUGAAAUUUCAUUGGGAGAAGGUGCUAUUGAAGAUUUUAAAAAGUUUGUGAAGUGAUAGCAUGUGACAUUCAUGUAAAAUAUAAAGGAGACGCCGUUUUACGACGUACUCCAUUGUUAUUAAUAUCUAAUUCUCAACCUAUAAUAUGUUCUCAUCCUGAUUUCAAUAAUGUACGUGUGAGAACUGUUCAGUUGGAGGGAAUUUGAUGAACUGAAAAAUGCAUUUGAAAAACCGUAUCCACUUGCUUUUUUAAAAUUUAUUACAAAUGUAUAAUGUGAAAUAUUAAAUAAUUGUAACACUUGUUUGUACUACAUAUUGUUUAUUGAAACUCAAAAUUAAUGUAACACUGUACUAUACAAAUUUGUUUACAAUAUAUAUAAUAAAAGUA